GACUAAACCACAGGACUAAACCAGGACUAAACCAGGUCUAAACCAGGUCUAGACCAGGACUAAACCGGGUCUAAACCGGGUCUUAACCGGGACUAAACCGGGACUAAACCGGGACUAAACCGGGUCUAAACCGGGACUAAACCGGGACUAAACCGGGUCUAAACCGGGACUAAACCGGGACUAAACCAGGACUAAACCAGGACUAAACCAGGACUAAACCAGGACUAAACCAGGUCUAAACCAGGACUAAACCAGGACUAAACCAGGACUAAACCAGGUCUAAACCAGGACUAAACCAGGUCUAAACCAGGACUAAACCAGGACUAAACCAGGUCUAAACCAGGUCUAAACCAGGUCUAAACCAGGACUAAACCAGGACUAAACCAGGUCUAAACCAGGUCUAAACCAGGUCUAAACCAGG
ensembl:lncRNA